GUGGAGAAGACCAUUACCACACUGAUUUACACAGAUGCAGCCCUAAUUCAGACUGGUGUUCCAGCAGUCACAUAAAAAUGAUUGAACACCAGGUUGUUUGUGUGUUUAAUAGCUUCUGAGAUGGAAGGAAUCCUCUUCCCUGUCAGGCCACCUCUGAAGGACUAGAAAUGCUGUAGAUUUUUCAGCAGAGCUGCACCGAAUACCAGAAUGAUGAAUCAGUGACAGCAAGACCUUCUAAUUCAAUUAAAGUUCUGCACCAAAGAACUACAGCUGUCAACGUUAGCAACCAGGCACCAUUCUUCCUCAACCCGAGGCAUUCUCAGAGGAAAAGGACAUUUCUGAGUGCUGGGAACAUCAUCGUAGAGCAUGCUCCAAACAGCAGGAAGCUAAUUUGCAGUAACCAAGGACUGCACUACAUCACCUUUUUAUUGCCUUGUGCUCAGUGGGUUUGUAUUCCUACACUGCAAGUAUGACCCUGGCUUUUACAGAGGAAAACAAUUAGAAGAGACUUUGAAUUUUUCUGCUGUUUUAUUGGAGAAUGAGAAUAAAGAAGCAGGUAGAAACAAAGAGAAUACAGAAGUAUUUUUGGGUCAUUGUGGAAUCAGAGCAGAGGUGUUACUGAAUUUGAGUGGGUGUGAACAGGGCUGUUUAAAUUUGUGUGUUACUUUGAUAUCAGCAAAGAGACCAAUGUCUUACGAUAUUUAAGUCAGGAGGCUCAAAGAAAAAAUUUACUGCAGCUGAGAUCUGAAGCAAAAUACUUUGUUUAUUUUCUUUGUAUGUGUGAGAGUACGCCUUUUAAACUGCCCGAGAAACUCCCUAAUUUGCAAUAAGGAGAUUACCUGAAAGAGAAAGGACAGCGCAAGAAGAGACAUCAUAUCACAAGAUAUUCGUAUUUACUUAUUGGACACUGAAAAUCAUAAUCCCAGCUUUCCUUUGAUUACUAAUCACCAGUCCAGAGUUUCAUCAGGAAUAAAUGCACAUCAUUCACAGAACUUAUCCCUGUUUCACGCUGUCACAAUGUUCCUGGCCAGGGCUCCCCACAAACACCCAUGACAUCCAGCAUGAGUGUCACAGCCAGACCCUCAUGUGGAGCACUGUGGCAGCACUCCACAGGGUCAACAGACCACAGCUGAACUGUGGCAGCCCAGAGCCCGGCUCUGCCUCUUGAAAGCAAAUUCAUUCACCAGCUAGCUGGGAGAGGACACACCGCCCUUGGACUUGCUGCCGCAUGGAGGACAUCAAGCUGGCCAGAUUCCAGCUACGACAAAAAUUGUUGAUUUGAGAGCUGGUUUUUGGAGCACCGUGUAAGAUAUGGGAUGUUAUGCCUUCCCCUGAUGCUGAGGCUUGUACUAGCGAGAAGCCGCAGCAUUCACUUCUCCAUCUCUCCCCGUGGGGUUCACCCAUUCAACCUUUCCUCUAGCAAUGGUAAUAAGGAGCUAUCAGAUAACCUAAUGAGGUGUCAGUCGUUAUGACAUCUGCUCUAUAGAUUAAAGCAGCCAUAAAGUUUAAGGCACCUUUUACCCAGAGCCAGUCUGGUCUUAUCCACACUGAGGAGCAAAUGGGAUUGACAAGCAUGGAACAGAAUUGAGACAGAAAGUGUGAAACAGUGUUUGAAAGCAGAGAGGAGCUUAGAGACAACCUUAUUUCAGUGUGAUUGAGAAAAGCGAAAAUUCUCUUAAAGGAAUUGGGUCUGCAUUUGGAAAAGGUGAAUUCAUCACUGGCUUGAAGUAGGACACGACUUGACUGAAAAUUAAAGCUGUGUAUUUGCUGCACCUGGGAGAAGUAAACAAUCUGUUAAAAAAGCCAAGGAUGAAAAAAUGAUCAAUCUGGCUAUAAAACUCCUGGUAAUCCACAGUGGUGGACCUUGAAUAAACACCUGGAUGGGCGUGUACUCAUGUCCAGUCUUGAUGCAGAGACACAUAUUUUGGAAGAAGACUUCUACUUUCGUUGUGUUUUCUCAUUCACUCUUGUUCUAUUUUAACUUGAUUUUGGCUAGUGGAGGAAUUUUCUGGAGUGAAAUCUAAAUACCUCCAUCAGGAACCGCUCCCCGUGUGUUAGAGUUUUGAGGUUCAGAGUCAUAUAGUUAAUUUUCAUGUGUUUUCAUGAUGAGAGGAAGGGGGUACCUUUGAAACUUCAUCAGAAGAAGGAGGUCAGUGUCCAUUUAAAAGUCUCACUUUGCAGUAAAACAGGGUUACAUCUGUCUCAGGAGGUCAAGGUUUUAUUUAUAAAAAAUAAUUCUUCCAGAAAACAUCCAAAACUGGCAUGAUGUUGUUGAGUGCCAAUGGCUACAUGAGCAGUUAGCUGUGGUUGUACAUAUGUCCAUCCAUCUGCUUUAUGGCUUUGCAUCUGAGGAAGGUGCCAUACAUUAGUUGCUCUGUGUAAGAGUCUGUUUUUAAUGUGUAUAAAUAGAAGAAUUAUAGGCUGUGAUGAUGCAUUGGGAUAAAACAACUCAUUGGUGGCCAGGUUAAGCCUUUUGCUGUGGACACACUUGUCCCUGGGUGAGAGGAAUUAAGACCAGGCCAUAAAAUUGAUUUAAUGGAAGUAUUGACAUGUCCUUUUUCUUAUUUUUUUUUUCCUCAGUUCUAAAAUUUUAAUUGGUAACUAGAACACCUUUUAAAUUGCCAAAUAAUGCUUUUCUUACGCUGGGCUAUUUGUCUUGCAGGAGGCACUGGAGCAUUCUCACUGGAGAGGGUCAAAUGCUGCAAAAUGUCAUUUAGAUAUUCUCAUCACAGUUAAUUGCAGUCAUUUUGCCUACACCCGGGCUGCUUUUCAGUUGCCACAGAUAAAAGUUGCCGUUUUGGCCACCAGCCAGUGCAGGAUGAUGCAGAUUCAGAACUUAGUGAGACUUUGCGCCAAGUCUUGGCACAAGGCUAAAAUUUAUAAUAAAAAACAUGCUGCUGCAAUGGGAGGAGGGAUUACUCUCAUGGGAACAUGUUGUUUAUUCAUUUUUUACUAUCUCUCUGUUUAGGAAGUUUCAGUCUUCCAGUUAGAGAGAAGAGAUACAGACAUGUGAGACAGAUGCAACUUCACUGUAACACAUUGUGACCCUUGUUGCCCAUUUCAACCUGUGGACAGGGAAAAAGAAGAAGGAGCAGGGACCAUGCCAGCUUACCCCACACAUCCCUGGGCUAAGAUGGGGAGCAUCUGGGCAUCCUGCUGCUCUGGUCCAACUGCUAACAUUAGCUGGCAGAAGAAAAUCCUGAAGGCCCUUCCUUUCCCAGGAGUGGAAAACACAUGUGUCCGGCCAUGAAGAGACAGAGCACGGGCUGCUUGAGAAAGGAGACACACAGAUGCACAAAGAAAAGGAAAAGGGAAGCUGCAGAGUUUGUUCCUCACUGCAAGAUGACCCAAAUUUGAUGCUGAAUGACCAUAUGUUGAGUCAAUGUUGAGUUCUUUGGCAACUUCUCAUGUGGUUGUAAGGGGAUCAGCUUUGAUGCUCACCCUCAGCUGGACAUUGUCACCUUCUGAUGGCCCUCACUCUGCUUCUCAUCUCGAAGGCUCUUGUCUCCUUUGCGGAACUUCUUGAACUGCUCUGCAUCCUCUCUGGAAAAAUCACUGAACUGGAAAAAUCACUGAACUGAAAAAGGGAUCUGAGGGAUGUGAAAAUCGCCCUGUAGAAAGCCAUGCUUCUGCAGCAAGCUGCAUCAUGGUAGGUCCUUUGCCUGUUACACAUGAAAAUGCAAUCCUAUCUUCUGUGCAUUUUUUUUGCCAGCCCAUCAUGUAUUUUUUGGUCUUACUGAUUCUCAAAAUGAUGAAUUACACAACACACUUUUUCAAGCCCAGUGUUUGCAAAGUCACAGGAGCUUUGUUGCUCCAGAUCUCCUUCACCAAGGCAGAAGGUACUUGUAUCAGUGGCCGUAAGAUGCCAGGACAGUUCAGUGACAACUGCCAGCUGCUGACAGCGUGCACAGGCAUUUGGUUUGCAGGUCCUAGCAGGAAAACUAGGAUUGUAGUCAUUGAUUUUACCUAAAUAAAGCAGAAGUUUUUUUUAUUUAGUGUAGCCCCCUCCCAACCACCAAGCCAAGGCAGAAAAUAAAAGGGAUUUAGAUUGCAAGUCAAACACAUUUCCUAUUCCUCCGGCAUCUGAUGGAAUUAUAUUUGGUAGUGUCCACUUGGGCUCCACACCUCAGGUGUGUUUUCUUCUCUUUUUGGAAGAAGGCUCUUCUUCCAUGAAAGGGAGCUAGAGGAAAGGACUUGAGGAAAUGUCAGGUUUUGCAUACUCUUACAAGAACACAUCCUGUGUUCAGUAGCUCAUGCUUUUCUGCAUCAAUGCUUGAGGUGAAUGAACACAUAUCCUUCAUUUUCGCCAUUUAAUCAAUAAAAAAAUAACAGUCCUUUUACUGAGAUGAGUCCUUUUGGCUGCUAUAUAUUUUCCAUCAGGCAAAUUCCUUUAUAGAGGAAUUGUAUCACCCUUAUUUGUAAGAUUUAUCUGGGAUGCACUUGACAUUCUUUAACGUUCAGUGUUUCCCUUUGCUGUAGAGAUCUUCUGUAGUGUGAGGUGCAGUGUUUCAGGGUGAUCUGCAUGAGCAAAACUGGAAAUGCUGCCUCCAUCUCUGCCCUGUCCCGUAGCUGCCCAGGGAGCAGCCUGGAACAAAGAUAAUUUGGUAAUUUUGUUCUGAUGACUUCAGCUCCCCUUAAUGACCUUUCAAAUUGAUUUGCUUCAUUUGCUUGGGUUUUAAGAGAUUAUGUUUAAGUAAUGCUUUGCUGCAUUUAAUGUUUUGUUGUAUUUUAAUUUGCUGUGUAAUGAGUCUCUAUAUUAAGUAAUAGAAGCAACAUCUGAAAUUAUUAAUCAGCAAAAGAUGACAGGUAAUGCAUAUUAAAUUCUCUCUGUAUUUUGAGUCAUUUCUCUCUUAGGUAACAUAAGAAAAAUGUUAAAUCAUACUGAAACACAUUCCUCAGCUGGUGUAAAUGUACAGCAGCUGAAUUUCUGGCCCAUUAUGUUUUUCCAUGAAAGAUGUCUUUGCCUUCAGAGUAUUAAUUAUCCAUGAUUCUUUAACUUUCCUUGUUUUCUGCCUUUACAGGUGCUACCAAUUCCUCCCUCCCCCCCCGCCCCGUUUUUUUUUUUUUUUUUCCAGAAAUCCAGAAAUUGAAAUAUUGAUCUGUAUUAGGAAAUGUGUUCUUCCUUUCUUCAGUAAAAGCUGCAUUUUCAUUUUUGGCAUCCAUAUUUAAAUCCCAGUGUGCAUACAUAUGUGAAUGAUGUGGGGUUUACUGCUGACAGUUUUAAAUCAGCCGCAUAGACAGCUUAACCGCUUUGUGACUCCAGCAGAAGACUGUAGGUUUUCUGCAAGAAAAUACUAUGGGAUGGUUUGUUAGACAUUGCAUAGAGAUCUCUGUCAGCAAACAGUCUUCAUCUUCAAGUCCUACACCCCAGAAAUCAAUUAAUACAGAUAAUAAAUGGGAACCAUAUCCUGUGGGUGCAGCCUGGCCAGAACUGGAGAGAGGAUUAAUUCUCCUGUCGCUACUAGAUUUUAAUUGGAAGGGAAUCUGUCUUUGACUUAAUUUCCUCUCUUGUCUUAGCUGAAGUCAAGUAGAUCAAAUGAAAUGCAAAUUGAAAGAAUAUUUUUGAUGUGCCUGAUUUUAAGGUUGGAUAUGACUAAUCUUUUAUGCUUCUGACUUAAUGUCUCUACAAUUUUUCUCUCAGAAGUCUUGAAAAAACUAAUAUUUCCCUGUGUGACAAAAAUAAUUUCUUUUCAUCAAGAGAGGAAACAUGAAUGGUGCUGUCACAGUAUUAAAAUGUAUCUGCUAAGUGCCUCAUGUUAUUAAACCCGACAUUAUCCUGCACAUUAAAAUCCUGCGUGUUUUAUUUUGUAAUGAGAGGGCAAAGUCCCAUUUCCUCCAGAGCCGCAAGGUAGUGUUUGUGGGCUGCCAUUAUAUAGCAGGGGUUAUUCACAAAAAAAUUAAAUCAGCUGAUUAUCAGAUUAUUGGCCAAUGCAAUUUAAUAUAAAAUCUUUAUUUUUCCUCUCUAUUUUUUUCCUUUUCCUUUCUUUCCUUGUUAUUUUGAAUUACGGCACUAGGAAAGUAUUUUUCAAGUGGUGAUCUUGCCUUCUGAUAUCUCUUUAUUUGGGAAGAAAUGAAUUCCGUGUUCAGUUUUAUUUUUAGUGCUUGUGAAAAUGAAGGAUAGUUGUGCCUGCACAACAAGAAGGGUGAUUUAGGCAAGUGUCUCUGAGGCAGCUGUAGUCAAUUUACCUUAGACUUGCCCUGAAAUUCUCUCCUGCUUUGCUGCAAACCUUCCCAAGAGAAAAUAUUUACUCUUGCUGAGCUGUGUUGGAGAAGAGGGUGGAUGUGCUGGUGUCCUACAUUAUGGCUGAAUAAAAGAUGAGAGGAAAAUGCUAUGUUGGUGGAACCACAAAAGGGAGGAGAAAAUAUUUAUUUGGUAUUUUUUGUACACAUAUUCCAUUCAGGAAUGGAUAUUGGUUCUGUCAUCUGCCAAAUUCAUAUCAGAUUCAGCCAGUAAAUCUAUAAGGUUUUUUUAUUCCAGGUCUCCUUAUUGCUGGUUUUCCAAGAAUUCCUUGUUUUCAAAGUGCACAUAAGAGAUUUUUCUGUGAUAGCUUGUCAUAAAGCAUUGUGCCAUGUUGAUGGACAUGUUGGUCAAAUAAAUGCCCAGCACCUCUGCCCACCUGUAUCAGUGGAAAAAAAUGAACAACCUUUUCUGCCACACCAUUGUGAGCCCUGUGGGAGGUGCAGGAAGGCCAAGCCCUGAGCUGAAACAACAGGAAAAAGUGCAAGGGCAGAUGCUGUUUUUCCUACUCCAGUUUCUCCUCUGUUAAAUUUAUUUCUGGGCUCCUCUUGUCGCUGAAUCUUUCAUGCUCUGGAGAAGAGCACUGCUGUUGUCCAGUGGCUAAAAGCAAAACCACAUAAAGGGCGAAGAGAAAGGAUAAUAAACCGAAGAUGUCUCAUAUUCCAUGCUUGAUAACAAAAGCAGCAAGCGAUCGCUUUGACACAGCAGGUAGUGCCCUGGGCUGGCACAGUGCCCGUCCAUGCCAUCUGCUGGCUUUCAAACCUUCUUUGCCUUCCCAUCCUGCAGCCAGGUGCUGCUUUUCUGCUGAAAUCGCUGCAGCACACAGCCCAAGUUAGCAGUUUGCUUGCAUAUGACAAAAAAAAAAAGAGGGAAGGGGGUUGUGUUACAUAGGGGAAGGUUCAUAGAUACUUGGUAUUUGUGCAGUUAUAAUCUCUCUUAUGGUGUUUGUGAAUAUAACGGGAUAUUUCUCCAGCUAUUUACAAUAGGUGGAGGCAAGAGCCAUAUGCCAUCUCACUGGAAAUGUGGAUGUUUGGCUAUUUUUGCUUGCUGAAUCAAACUUUAGAUGGAGGGUAGUGAAAGAGCCACCUUGGAAUCACUGAUAGGAUUAGUGGGUUGAAGGAGAAAAAUAAAUAAAAGUGUGUUAUAUAUAUGGUGAGAUGCAGGACUCAGAAAUGAUUGGCAGUCAUAUAAAAGUGAGAAUGAAAUAGGAAAUUGAGACCAAAAAAUAGGCAGUAAUAAAAGGCUCAGUAUUUUAUUCCAUGUCAGAUGGUUUCUGUUCUAUCUGAACUGGCAUAUUUCCUAAAACAAUAUCAUUUAAGGAAACAGCUGGUCUGUCAGAACAUUUUCCCUCUGCUGCAUAUCAUCUGUCCAGCAUUGUGCUCCAAUCAAAAAGGUAAAAAGCCAGAAACAGAGCGAGGGCUAAAGGAAAAAUAAUCCCGUGUCUCUAAAUAACAAUGCAGCAACUGUAUGCAAAGUCAUCUCAGUAAAAGAGAAGUUCACUGAUAAAUCAAGCAUUGACGUUUUCAGCAGGAGAAAAUAUGUCCCAGCUCUCAGAAUUCAUGUUUUCUGAGGCUAGAUCAUCAGUACUUCCAAUUAGUAAAAAUGCAAUAAUAGUGUCUGAGAUUAUUGUAAAACCGUUUCAUAUUCCACAGCAUGAGAGAUUUUCAAGAAAUUUUGUAAAAUUAAUAAAUAGCAUAUCUAAAAGUUUUCCACAUGAACAGAAUUGUGUUGCUCUAAAAAUUGCAGAUACAGAAUCUGGUACAAGAUAUUUUGAAAUGUAACAUGACUCUCCACUUGGGUCAGAAAAAGCCUAUUUAGGGUGGGAACGUUAGGAUUUAGUUCAACUUCUGCUGGUCUGUGUUAAAGAGGAGUUUGAUUUAGGAGCCCUCCUGGCUAAAAAAAAAUAAAUGGAAAAAACCUUGUUGGCUUUGUGCUGCUUGUGAAGUUAGGAAGCUUGGAGACAUAUCAAAAGCAAGGUGAACAAAAGAGGUGUUUUGCCAGGAAUAGUACAAAUUUUACCUGAUAGUGCAUUUAGAGUGCUUUGAUAUGAACCUGAACAAGGCAGACUUGCCAAGUUUUGUCAGCGGUCAUCUGGAAAUCAAACCACCCACAUGUUUUGGAGAGUGGAAAUGCUGGAACUCGAGUAUCUCAGGGCUGUGGGCUCUUUGUAAAACCUCGCCUCUGUACUGCCACCUCUGCUCAAAAGCCCUGACACUGUUGGAAAAUACAACUCUAAAUGUGGAUGCUGAGCAUUUAAAUUAGCUUUUGGUUCUUUUUGGAAACACAGGUCUACAGCUCAUCUGGCUAAAGGUAAGCUAACCCAGCAUCUCUUAAAAUGUACCUACUCAGUGCAGGUAGAUGGGGAAAAAAUGCCAUGUAGCCUUGCAUUGAGACUUUAAUUGCAUUUGGCUAAAGCUGAAGUAUUUUGGCUAAAAGUAUGUCUUCCCAAAAAAACUUUUUUAAAAUGUCAAAAUUAAUUAUUUUCUUUUGCUUAAAAGUAUAGUUCAAUGCUUUUACAUUUAAAACCAUAAUCUUGGGUCCCAGACAUUUGUUUGAGGCUGUAAACAAAAAUACAGAAUAGCUAUAUUACACAAGCACAGGAAAGAAACUCUCUUUUCCCCCAAAAUACACAGAAAAGCCAUAGUUUCUAGUCUUGUUACAGUCGAUUUAUCCUGGUUUGACCUUGGCAAUCUGAAGUUCUGUGCAGAGGCUUACAUUGCUUUAUUUUUACUAAAACCUCUGUUCAGUCACUACUAAGUGUUGCAGGCUGCUUGUUUGGGGGUUACUACUGUAGGCUGUGCCCUUUUCAAGGCACAAUUUUCUUUUUCAACACCGUAGCACACAGUGUUCUAGCAUGUCUGAUUUUGCCUGCCUCUUGCCUAGGCAAAACUGCUUAUUGGAAAACCAGAAUUUGCUGUUUCCAUCUGCCACAAGCUCGACCUUGGGCAGGAGAGGUAGCUGCCGGUGGCCACUCAGUGAAGGAGCACGGGAUUUAGGAUUGACCUGCACCUCAGUACCAAGAGUUCAUUUACAUCUUUCUGGUAAGGUUCUGACUGGAGAUCUCCACCCUGUUCUUGAGGACAUACACCAUCAGGGUAACAGAAAGGAUGUGGUCUGCACAGGCACAGAUGGGGCUGGCAGAGGCAAAAUGUUCAUUUUAAUCCUACUAAGAAAUUACAAAUUAAGAUGUGAUUAUAGAACCGUUAAAAAGGAAUUACCAUGGAGGAAUUUCCAGAUGGUCAUGCAGAAUAACUGCGGAAGAGUGAACAGAAAGUUUGAGCUAUUUAUCCAGCAAGAAAAUGUGGCAUUUUACAGCAACAUUCAAAACGCUCAACCCAACACUGGAAAGACCAGAGAUUUGAAUUGCGAUGGCACAAAACUUCGUGGAUGUCUUUGUCGCUGACUGGUACAUCGUGACCCUUUAGAGAGCCAGGGCUGGAGGGAGAGGCUGAGCUCUGACUCACAGCAAGGCCAGCACUAUGUCCAGUUUUAGAUGGUACUCCUUAAACUCUCAGAAAAGAGGAUGAAAAACCAGCCCCUACAAAUCUACUCCAUGCUACUAAGGACACAAAAGAGACCAAGACAAUUAUUGAGAAUUUUAAAGAAAGGUGCCUACAGGCUGAUGGGCUGCAGUGGCCCCAGCACAACAUGAAAAGGAAGCAAGAAGGUUGUGAAGAUCCUUGAAGUGAGGUGAAGAACCCAGUUUUGUGAAUCUGUGCUGGAAUCACCUGAAUCAUCUGUGAAGUCACCUGCAGAAUGGUUUAGAAAUAAUCUCCUGUGAAAAUGGUGUGCUAAGCAAAUGUAGUGGAGAGGCUGAGCCAUGAGGACACCUUAAAACAAGGAGCUUUCCUCAGAUGAAUGGAGGAACAAGCACAUGAGUUAUCCACAUGUUGUUCAUCAGCCUCAGAGCACCAAGAGGUGACUGAUGGACUGAGAUCUCAACCAUGCCUUCCCAGGGAUGGGAAUUAUGCCCACAUCUGGGGCAUUCCCAGCAGGAGAUGGCAACACGUGUUCCCAACCGACCACCCUGCAAAGCAGAGGGGCUGCACUGGCAUCUCCUUUGCAGCUGCGUGGGCCAGGAUGAUGGUGUUUGGAAGGAAACGGCAAUACGGCAGAGGAAAGUUUUAACCCAUGACUUCUAACUGUGUCCCAUAAUGUCAGCCUAAGGAAGCAUGAAAUGCAACAUUUAAUCCUCAGUUAUUAAACAGACUUCCCUCCACCAAAGACAGGCCACAGACUUGGUGACCACUGUCCUGCACAACUUGUGUGUCGGACGCCUGGGUGUGUGGUGAUUGGAUGGUCACGUUUCUGGUAGAAUGAAGAAGUGAAGCACUCCAGGAGGGAAGAGGCAGUUAUUCACAUGGGGUGGCAUGGCUUGUAAAACUCAAGGGAUGCGGAAGACAUGGGCAACUUGCUUUAUUGAAACUGUUCUUCUGACCUCAGUUUAGGUGCUAGACUUCAGCUGGGCCACUGAGAAAGCUUCAACCUGGAGAGCUGGACCUGGGUUCUACCUAAAACUCCAACCGGCCAUGCUGGGAAACUAGAGGCUGUUGCAGGGAGGAUGAUGGGAGUGAAGUGACUUGGCUGGGGUGAUGUCACAAACCUGCAGCCAUCACCAUGAACCUGGACCCAUGAUGUCCUGAGGUCCUUUCACCCACUCUUGGUGCAUGUGCCUCUCAGCAGGGACCAGAUCCCCAUUGUGCUGGAUGCUGUGAAAACAAUUAGUGAAAGACAAGGACACCAAAAAUCCUCUUUCCAAAUGCAAGUAAAAAACCCUAAUCUCUUUCCUGAGAAAGGACUUCUUUACUAUACUUCCCUAGAAUCUGAUUAUGAAGGCCAUGUCCUGGUACUAAAAAGAGUUUCUUUGCAGCAUUUUAUUACCUACUUGAAUGAUUGCAUUUGCUCACUUUAAAUCAAUGUAGUAUGUCUGAUCUCCAAGUCGUGAUGCAAGAAGUUAUUUUUAUUUGUUAGAGAUGACUAUGCACAAGAGCUGGUGACAGCUGUUCCUGGCUGCUCAUGUUCUGUGACAGAGCUGCAGCCCACAGGAGAGAAUUAGAGAUUUCUGACACUGGAGAUACCAUUUCUGCCUGUAUCUGAUUUUGUUGGCAUGCCAGUGUAAAUCCAUUUUAUUGUUAAGCCACGGUGGGCAGAUAUAAGGACAGAGGCAUACAAGCCUUUCAGAGCAGUCAGAAUAAGCCCUAAUUUGUCUUUUUAGCCAAAGGUGUAGGUAUACAUGUAUUGUGUAAUAUUAAACAUCAAGGAGAGUUGUAUAUAUAGAAGUAACUGAUAUUAUGUUGGGCCUGACAAAAAUGCGUAACUAAAGGACCGGCACUACGCAAAGGUCCUUUAAUUUACAGAAAUAAAAAUGUUCGUUUCACUUUCACUGUAUGCAUUGCACAGCAUAUCUGCACUCACAAACAUACCAUUAAAUGUUCCCACACUAUAUAUUAUCAACCACAAACACGUAACUAUUAGUAACUGGGUUUUCCAAAGUCUGCAAUCUGGGUCACAAACUUUUAAACCAUGAAUGAGAAACACAGAAAGAAAUCACGAGGUCCUUUGAUCUGCCUUCAGUUUUCUGAGUGUCCAGGGGUCACAGUAGGAAGAUGAAGUGUACUUAGAGAACUAAAUAAUCAAAGUUGAAAGGUUCAUGAUUGCUAAAGGUGGUGAUUUAAAUAAUUUUUUUUUUUUUUUUUAAUGUGAGUUGUAAAAUUGCAAGAGGUGACAGUGCUGUGCUUGAAAUGUAUAAAAAGGAAGAAGGAAGCUUCCAUCAUCUUUGCAGCACACCAAGAAAAGAGGCUCUGCUAAAACCAGAGUUUACCCCUCUGCUUACAGGUUAGCCAGCAAAAUUGUGAAGCAUGAAACUAUGGUGCUCUGAGGCUUUUGAUGGCAAAAAGCUUUCUCUGCUGUUUUCCCCAAAGGUGAUUUAUUCUGUGAAACCUAUAUUGUGUAAGGCUUUCUGCCUUAAAAGCAACUCAUGCAAAAUUAAUUACAUUGCACUACAUUUGUAGGAAAAUACAUUUUAUUAUGAGUUAAUUUGAAGAAUAAAAAAUAUUAUGCAAUGAAUGCUAUAACAGCAAUAGUUAUGAGUUGCCUUAACAGCAUUUACAAAUCAAAUAGCUGCACAGCAGUAACUUUGAAACUAACCUACAUCAGGCUUUUGGAAUUAUGUAAACCAGUUUUUGAGUAGCCAUGUAUCUUUCACAAGUUGUGUCUGAGGCUGAGAAAUGUGUAUUAUUUGUUAAAAAAUAGGAAAAGUGAUUAUCUUAUAUUUUUAACACUUCGUGAACUCUGUAUGUUCUGGUGUUUUCUAUAGCUUUUUGGAAUUAAAUGGGAGACAAAUCCCUUAGACAUUUUGCGACUCCUUUUGAAAGUAUGAAAGUAUUUCAUACCAGAAUAUUAGUCAUCACUAAUUACAUGCCCUCUCCUUUUCACAGAAAGGAAUUUCAUCCAUAAAAAGGGACUUGUGAUGAUCUAGGCUCACCUGAUGUUUUUACACUGCUCAAAAAAGAGAUUUAUUAUUUUCCAAAUAUUUUUUUUACUCCUUGAGCCAGAAACAUGUGUGACUCACGUUUUGACUACAGAACAUGUUUUAAAAAUGCAGCAUCCUUUUCUGUGUUGAAGUGACCGAAGACGCCCAACUCUUACAUGUCUCUCCUUGAUUUGACUGUCAAAAUCUGGGCCAAAUUUCUUGGCUAAAUUUGCCUAACUGAGGCUUUCAGCCACCAGCUGUUGUGAGGCCUUUUCCUACUUGAGUAAACACCUUUCUGUUUCCUCCCUUUUCUCCCCAGCCCCAAAAUCUGGAACCUCUUCUCCCUAAUAUCUCUCUUCAGAAUUGAUUUCUGUACCAAGAGCAAAUCUGGGGAAAAAUAUCUCAUGUUGUUAUUAUUUCUCUUUUAAAUUCUUUAAGGAACUUGCCAGAAAAGCUUGUGUACACCAAACUACUUGCAUAAUUUCACAUCCAUAGCAGAGGAAGUCUCCAGGGCAGGUUGACAAUGUUAAAGAAAUUAUACUUUUAUAAAAAAAUAUAUGUUUGAAGUGUGUAUGUACAAAACAAACAGCAAGUGUUGCUGACUCUUGUGAAUUUACUUCAAGUUUUGCAAGAUUAGGUAGAUUAGGUAGAUUAGGUAGAUUAGGCAGGUUCAAGACCCAGCUCCUGGGAGGGGUGACUAUAUGAUGAUAUGUCUGGAGUUUUCUGCUCCUUCCUUUCAGUAUUUUUUUUCUGCCUUUUCUGACUAUGGAAAAGCCCGCAGUAUGAUGCAAAUGUAUUAAUAUCUUAUGGGCUUAAAAAACAGGUAAAUAUGUAUUUAUUCUGUUCUUUAAAUCAAUCUUAAAGACCUUAUAGUGACCACUCACCACACUUACAUAUAUUAAGUGACUGAUCCUUCCCCAAAGUGUAAGAUGGGUAAGAAAGCCAAAGCAGAUAAUGUUAUUUUCAUUUAAAAGAUGGAGAAUUGAUUCCCAGUUACUUAUGACUAGUUCCAAGCCUACUGAUGUCAACCAAUUGCUCGAGAGCACACCUCUGCUAAGUCCCUGGCACUGCACUGAGCAUGGGACUUUUUUCCUUCAAAAUACCAAAAAUAGUUAGAUAUAUCAUCACUUUGCAGGCUUUACAGAGUCCCCACUAAUCUGAACAGGAUUCUGAUGCAAGAGUCUCACAAAAACUAAAUCUCUGGAAGCAGUGACUGGUAUUUAACUACACAGCAUUAAUCAUCUGAUCACUCUGUCUGAGUUUCCAUUAGACGGAGAAAGAAAGGGGUUUUCUUUCUGCCAUUAUAGUAUUGUCCCUUUAGAUUUAUUAAUCUGUGAAUAUUGAAAAUGCAUUUGCUAAAUGAGAAUAGUCUGAACUACUAACAAUAGACAGCAAGACAGUAAAUACAUACAUUGUAAAAUCUAUGGUUUCUAUUCUCUCCUAUUAUAAAUCCUGACAAGUAAUAAUUACAUGCAACCCCGAAAAAUUAAGCUAAUAAUAAUUAUCUUACAAACAGGAAACAGCCAUUAGAAGUGUCAUGCUGGGUCUGUAUCAAUGUUGUAUUUAAUUAAGCAGAAGACUAUGCAUAAUCAAGUAAAAUGAAGUUCAGCAAUACUAACAAAUGUUCACUGAAGCAAGGAACUCAACUUCUGUGCUUUCAGGGUCGCCUUAGGAAGGGUUUUUCAAAGUAAAUUAAGGGACUCAGACAGCCAGGUGAAUGUGCAUUCAAAAUACAAGUGCUUUAGGCCAUCUUGGAAAACUCAACCUUGCACCAUGCUUGCACUAAUUCCUUGGUACUGAGCCAAAAUAAAAAAUAAAAUUAAAAAGGUCCGUGCUGCUGGCAAUGGCCUUGUAAAUUGAACAUAGAUUCCUGAGCAGACGCUUUCAGUUUACAGUUGCUAUUGCUCCUCCAUGUGUAUUUUACCUCUAUAUAGAGAGUACGUUGCUGUCACUACCCGUAACUCACUUUCCAUCGCUACAAUGGGCAGAGUCCAUGGUUUGGGGACAGUGUAAAAAAUGUUAAGGCUCAUCAAAAUUCAGAAUAAAGAUUAAAAUGCAGGUCUGUGAUUGUCCCAGCAGACUACAGUUCUUCUAUGCAUCACGGAAGGAUUCCUGAAAUGUGGCCCAUGGUCUAGUUCUGUUUCUCUUAAUAUCACAGAAUAACAGAAUGUUAGGGAUUGGAAGGGACCUCAAUAUAUUUCUUUUAAUUAUAGGAAAGCUUAAGAUAAGAAAGAGACUCACAUCGGUUUUUUUUGGAUCAAAACCUUAUUCAGCAUAGUAUUUAGAUAACCUUUUAAAUAACUGUGUAAAUAUCACUCAAUAAAUUAAAUAAUGCAAACACUAUGAUUAGAACUAGUAUUAAUAGUCGUCAUAUUUAUUUCGUCAUUUUUUUACAUGUUUCCCCUUUGACUAGAUCAAAAAAAUCUCAAAAAACAUUUUGCCCAUUAAGAAUGAACAAAGGAGACAUUUGCCUUUAACCAGGCAUACAAAUUGCAAAAACACCCUUUAAACAACCAGGAACAUGAGAAAUCUAGUGGUAUUCCAUCCCGCAUAUAUCAAAGGCAUUAAAUUGAACAUUAUGAAGCAAACCUAUCCACCAGUUCCAGCUGUUGCCAGUGAAUAUAAGGGGGGGUGUUAUUUUUAUUUUUUUCUUCCAGCAAAACAGUUAGUUUCAAAACUCUAAUAUGUUACAGAAAAUUCCUCUUGUCUAAACAGAUUCCCAUUUUCAUGGUGUGCAAGAGACUAGCUCUUCUGCUGAGGGACAAUGAACCACAAAAACUGUGAUGAAAAUAAUUAUGAAGUAUUUUUUCAGCUUUUGUUUACUGUGUUGUAAACUUCCUUCCUACCCAGUCCUUUCCUCCUACUUAUACAACUUGACUGCAGUUUGUAUUUUUUCAUUUACUUUAUUAAAAGCACUUUUCUUAGCUAAGACUGUUUGUUUAAAAAUACAAAUUUAAAUAUUGUCAGGUUUCUGCCCCAUCGGAUAAGUAGAGCACAGCUGAAUAUGUUUAGAUACGAAGAACCCAAAGCAUUGCAGGGAUGCUAAGCUUUAUGAAUGUAUUAAAACUGAAUAUACAAUCCAAUGUAGACAUUAAAGUAUUGUGCUCUGAAAUAAACACUGUAAUCUAAGUGUCAAGAGACAGCCUAAGGAUGUAUUUUGAGUCCACAGAGUAGCUAGGACAUCUACAAGAAACCAGUGUUGGAUUAUCUGUAAAAAUUGAGGAGUAACACAGCCAAGGCUUGUGACUAACAAGUUCUGGUUAUCUCCUAGUGAAAAGAAUGGAAGCAUUUAUAUUACAGAACAGGACCACAACAGAGUGAAAACAGAAUCCCUGAUGUGGCAUCUUGUGAACGAGGCACAUCCUCUGCAUCCUGGAAUAACACACUCACCUUGUCCACAAUGCAGAUCUGCUUCUUACUUUGCACAUCAAGAAUUUCCACUUCAAAGAUUUUCAUUCAAAGAUUUCUACACCUUUUUCAAGCCUUAGCAGCAAAGCCUGGAAACACUCUGAGAAUACAGAGAUCUCCAGCAUUCUGAGCCAGGAUUCAGUCGUGCUUCAGGCAGGAAGGAGAAACUGCGCAAGCCGGUCACUAGGUGGUGCAAGCAGUCCACCAGCACUUCUCUCCCAGCCCACGGGAAAACCCAGCUUCUAGCUCGCAGCCCUAGAUGGAAUGGGGUGGUUCAGGGUGAGGACAAGCCUUGUGGAAGUUCAGGUAGUUGAAGCCCAACUGGUUUGAGAAAGAAAGAGAGCUGCGUUGCUCUGUACCCUUGAACUGGUCAUGCUUUACACUACGGAUAUAUUUUUAAAUGGGUUAGAAACUUUCCAUAAGGUUAAGUGAAGCAGUGUCUAAAGAAGUACUUCGAUUUGCUUAAAGAUAUUGGUAUCAGGCAACAGAAUGGUGAGCACUGGAGUUGCAUAAUCUGUUUAUUGUCCUGCAGAAAUGUCUUGUGCUCUGUUAAUUAAUCAUCAUAGUUAGAGCUAGGUUUCCAAGAGAGCUGGGUUCUUAGAUAUGUAAACAAAGUGUCUGAUAAUUCUAGAUGUUACUGUUUCUAAUUCUUCAGUAUAAUGGUUGUGGAAGGUGCAUAAUACUGAACUUCGACACAAAACCAGAAUCAGCUGCAUUUUUCACAAAGUUCCAAGCUAGUCUUGUGAGGUGAUCUCUUACUAGGCAAAAACAGUGUCAGAAACAGAUAAGCACAUUUUGAAGGAGCUGUGCAAUUUUGCACAUGAAGAAAACGAGCAGCUCUUAUUACAGACAAGGAAUAACAGUUACAGCAGAAGAGGUAUAUGAAAUGUUAUGUGAUGUGUGAUACUGAACAGAUCCAGCAAAUAACUGUUACCCCAUCGUCAGCACACGUACAGAACAACAGGUGUAGGCCGAUUAUUGAUGGUUUCUGUUUGUGAUCCCCAGUUAAUCUGAGAAGGGAAUGCGUCUGAAAGGAAUUGCAACCUGAAGCCGACUUCCUCUGAAUAACAUUCCUCCAAGAACAUCCAGGAAACCAGAAGCUGUCAAAGCUGUGAGCCGAAUGACUGAACUGUUGGGUUUUCUUCGACCUGCUGAGAAUUUUGUUGUCAAAAGAAAAGCUUACACAGGAAGGACAAACCCUUCUCUUCUCACUCACCCUCUGGCUGGGUCUUCCUGCUGUGUGGAUUCUGCGCACCCUGAGGAUGGAAUUCUUCCUUGGUCAACAUUUGUAGAUAACCAGCCUAAAUAAAGCCUUGGUGUUUCUGGGCAUUGCCAUAUCAGAUGAGCAGGUAAGGAAUUGUGGAGCCCUCAAAAGCCAAAGUAACACGGCAAAUAAUUGCAGGACUAGGCUGAGAAACUGCAUGUAAGAGUCUCAGGCACUCAAAAAGGAUCUGGGUAGAAAUCCUUGCACCCUGGCUCCCAGGACAUUCACUAGAAAGGAUUUCAUUCCUACCUUGGUGGUUUCAUGUGAGUGACUGGAUUUGAAAUUUGGCUGGAUAAAUCCAGGUGUAAGGGGGAAAUAUUGGUGAUGUGGAUGGAGAAAAUAAAAAUCUGACACUCUUGCUCUCCCUCCACGCAUGACUUGUCACACUAAGGCAAAACUGAACUCAAGGCAGGUGUUACCAACCUGCAGCACAUGCAAAGGACCCCCUAUCCUGUACAGUCUGCUCCAAGAAAGCCCUCAGGCAGGCAGGAGAUAUGCUUUGGUUCUGCAGGGUGUGGGGAAUUUUUCUUGUUUUACUCCUAAUCCCUGGCACCAAUUCUGUGUGUGCACUGUCCAUCUGCAUGUUGUCAGAGGAGCCAUGAUCUCCUCCAAAGCAGCAUGGAGCACACUCCUUCCUACUCUGCCCCAAUGCCUGCAGUAACCCAAGCUCAACUAAGCCAGCUCUGGGGCAAGUUUGAGUAAGGGGCAGGAGGAAUGUACAGACAUAAUUACACAAGCAAGACAGGCAACUAAAGGUGGAGCAUAACAAACCAACAGCCCCAAGGCAUCUAUCAACUCAUUUUAGUGCUGUCACCCCAACCACAGUCAUACCCACGUGCAAAAACCAAGGGCACAUUCAGAAGGAAGAGUCUUGUUCAGGGAGCCUGGUCCCUAUAGCUGUGGGUUUGCUGAUGCUCUUCUGAUUGCGUUGGCUGUAUCAAUGCUUGUUUCUGUUAAUGUUAAAUAUAUUUCCAUGCUUUACUGAGCGUCCACCUGGCUAUGUCCAGAUCAACUCUGCAACCAGCUUAUCUUGUGUAAAGCCAGCAUAACUAAGCAGGGACUCUAGCUCCUACACUAGUAGGAUAGUUUAUUUUUAAUUUGUCUGUAAACCUGAAUAAUCAACUGCUAUUAUGUCUAGGGGAUGACCUGCAAAUUAUUCAAGCAUUAAUUUCUGUAAGUAAAGGAGCCAAAGCACUGGCUGCCAACAGAGUGACCGUAAGCUUUAGUCUUCCCUGUGCUUGUUACCAUCAAUAUGGAUGGUGAAAGAGAAACUUCUGACUGCGAAGAAAGGGUAAUGGCUUCUCUUUCUGCAGCCUCCUCCCUCCAUAUUUCUGAAUAUGUUUGUCUUCCCCAGCUCUGCAACUCCAGCAAAUGAGGUGAAAAUGAUCAUAAUGCUACUCACUCUAUGGUCACCUGAGCCACAGCAUCCAUUGAACUGUAUCCGUUCUCCAUGAAGAUCUCUGUGUAUCGGCCCAUUUUGAUGGCUUCCAGCCAUUCCCCCACCGACCUGUAGGUGCUGCUCCCCACUGGACUGUGCUCUACCAACAGAUUUGACACCCUGAGGACAAAAGGAAAAAACAGGAGCAAACAGAAUCAGUAUCAAGUGAAUGAGAUGCCACUCAUGGGGACGUGUCGGCAUGGGGACAUGAGGUCCAGCUACAGGCGAGAUGGUUCACCUGUAGCUGUGCAAGACUCACUCUGAAGGUGCAGAGAUGGACAGGUCGAAACUCACAACGCUUACAUUGGCUUUGGUCCACGCCACCAGUCUAACCUCAUCUUACACCCCUCUCCUUCCUGUCAAAGGAUAAUAUCGUGUCUUUUUUUGUCUCCUCUGACAAUAAGCUUUUCUGAGGGUCUCUUCCAGUGUUAAUCUGGAUAACUCCACUGCCACCAGUGAAGCAGCGAUGGUUUAUUUACAUAUACAUCACUCCCUCAUGAUCCUGCAAGUGACCAAGUGAAUAGCAGCACAGUGGCUUAGAAAUAUAAUACUUCUGUUCUUAUAGUGCAAAAAAUUUCUCCAAGAUUCCAGUGUAGUGGAGACCCCACUACUAAAACUCACUCAAAAAUACAAAUCUCCCUUCCUACCCCCUUCCCCAGCUUUAUUUCUUGCCUGUAUUUACCUUAUUUGUAGCUGUGUAAUAAUUGAGAUUCAUGUUUAAUUGCAUGCUGGCUGCUCUACUCAAUGUGGCUUUAGCAAACGGUUUAUGUACAACUCUUUAGGAGCUACAAGAGAUACUCCCAAGGUUACUGUGGCAGAAUGCAAACCCCCCUCUCUCCCCCUCCCUCCUUCAGUAUGGAAGGAGUAGGCACAUCUCUCUCUCUCUGCUACUUGAAGCUAACAGCUUCUUGGCCCCAGAGCACCCUGGCCAGGGCCAUUAGGAGAAGGGAGUGCCAAGGCGCCAGUGAGCCGCUGGGCACCUGCGGCCAGUGUGGGGGAUGUUUGGAGGCUUCAGGGUCACCCCACAGCCAGUGUGGGGGUGCAGAGAAGCUUCUAGAAUGCCUACAGUCAGAUCUGAUCAGCCAAUAUAAAAACGGGAUUCUCGUCGAGACUCCGCCCAUUGUCACAGGUCUCUUGGAGCACGAGCAAGAUGCUGCCACCAAGAGCCCCCCUCCCCGGGAUGAAGACUGCGCUUGCCUUGCCGCCACGGGUGUGAGUAAAACUUCUCGCAGGAUUGCGAGUAUAUUUAUACUUUUUGUGCACAUAUGCACGUGUAACUUUCCGUGCUCAAUAUGAGCACAUGUAAAAUUAAUCCUCGCAUAAUCGCGGGUGUAUUUUCCUUCCAUGCACAUUUGCACGUGUAACUUUCUGUGCACAUUUGCACGCGUACUUUCCGUGCUUAAUACAAGCACGUGUACUUUCCAUGCACAUUUGCAUGCGUAACUUUCCGUGCUCAAUACGAGCACGUGUAUAAAUUAUUUCCUCGCACAAUCGCGAGUGUAUUUUCCUCCCGUGCGUCCACAUAAGUACGUGUAAUAGUCUGUGCACAUUUGCACGUGUAAGUAAAUUAACCCUCGCAGGAUUGCGAGUGUAUUAUAAAUUUACCCUCGCACUAUUGUGAGUGUACACUUUCUGUACUCACUACGAGUACGUGUAUCUCUUUAAAAUAAUCCCACAUCGUGUUCAGGCAAGUGUGUACUCCUCCAGUACUCAGGGACGGCUCCAGCAUUAUUUCAGGUGAAGCCACGUGCAUGCACACUGUGGACUGCCUGUUGUAUUAGUUGCUGCCCCUUAAUAAUUUUCCUCAACUGAUAUCCGAACCUCUAUUUAAGUCACUUCUGGAGUGCUAAAACCCUGUUUCUCACCGGUUUAAUAAAAGUUGUUUCGGACCCUGUUGUCCCUUAAACAAACCUCGGGGUGCCUCCCUGACAGUUACCAAGACUGUCAGAACUGGAGGUGGUGGCUAACACACCUGGGAAGCUGUGAGAGAAUGCACUUGGACAUCUGUGAGCUUUGCACAUCAUAAGAGCUUCCCCAAGAGAUGCUCUUCAUUCAUAUUGCCGAGAUAAAGUCAACAGGCAGAUAAUUUGAGCAGCGUUUACUAUCUACUUCAUCCACUCAAGUCCUGUCCUCUCUACCCUUGGGGUAGAGCGCAGGUAGCUUUAACAUACACUCAUAAAUACUGCUAAAACUCCAGUUCCUGAAAGACAGGCCACAGUAAUUUUAUUUGUAACAGGAAAAUUGCUUUUACAGAGUAACUAAAUUGCUCACCUGCCUGACAAUUUUAACAGAAAAAGUUGAUUUGGGGAAGCUCCCCUGGACAUAAUGAAGCUGGAAGAACAUCCACCCCCAGAUGUUCACAGACUAAAUAAUAAGUGAUAAUUCAACUCCAGGGACAGGUAUUCAGACAAAGAUCUGAGAAAUGGCUCUGGCCUGAGUUUGUACCUGCUUGAUGCAUUCACCAACGUCUUCAAGCUGCUUGGGUUACGGAUAAGCUUGUCCAACAUGCUGACAAUCUCGUCAAACUUGGGCCUGCUGUUGCGGUCCUUCUGCCAGCAGUCGAGCAUGAGCUGGUAGAGUGCAGCCGGGCAGUCCAUAGGGCUUGGCAGACGAUAUCCUUCCUCCACAGCUUUAAUCACCUGCAGGAGACACAACACAAGGCUGAGGAGUCAUUUUUCUUCCUCCUACCUUUUCCUCCAAUUGAUUUAAACAGGACUUGGGGGCCAGCAAUACGCUCAUAAACAAGCCCACCACCCCCACAACUCUGCAUGCAAGAGGCAAACUCAGCAAACCCCACUAUAUUUCAGAUUUUCUAUGGGAUAGGUUGAAUAAGUUUAUUUUUGGACACUGCAAAAUGAAUAUAGAAAGCCUGGGCACUGCCGCAAGCAGGGGGCCAGAUCUCAUCUUAUAUAGUACCUAUCCAAAGCUCCGCUCAGGUCUGUAGGUUCUAUACCAGGAAAUUCCGAGAGCUGACUCUAAGUCCACAAAUGGCAGACUAUGGGGCUUUCUGGCAUCUUCCUUCAGUACAGCAAUUUUGUUUACUCAGAUGUUGGCUGCUCUUUAAAUGAAAAGGCACAUUCUAGACCACGAAUUUGUAUUACAGUAAUAAAAGUCAGACUAUUUCCAAA